CAAAGGAAAAACAUAAAAAAUACAUUUUUAAACAAUCAUUUUACAAAAUGUUCUUAAGUUUACUAAUAAAAAGUGUUAGCAUAAGAAGACAAUUUCAUUAUAUCCUCCAAUUUAACCACAAAUCUUGCACCAAGAUUACAUGGAAAAGCAUAUUAUAGUAUUCAUUUUACAUAGAUCUUGAAUUUUGUUGUAAUUGAAGCAAAAAGUUGUGUGUUCAAAUCUGUAAAAUUUUCGACAAAAGUUUAUUUUUACUCCAAUCUUUUCCCAAUUUUCAUAAUAAUCAAUCGAGAAUGUGACACUUUUGGAUAGCAUAGUAUACCUCUUUAUAUAUUUUUGUUGAAAACUUAGCACAAAAAAGAUGCUUUACAAAAUUUCUAAUUUUUAAACACAAGAAUGCAGACACUGAAAUGUCUUGCCUGCUUUACUUAAUAUUGUGACUAAAUUUAUGUUGAAAAUAUAAGAAUAAGAAGAUGUGGUAUGAUUGCCAAUGAGACAACUCUCCACAAGAGAACAAAUUACUCAGAAAUUAACAACUAAAGGUCGCCAUACGGCCUUCAACAAUGAGCAAAACCUAUACCGAAUAGUCAGUUAUUGAAGGCAUCGAAAUGACAAAUGUAAAACAAUUCAGAAAAAUUAUGGCCUGGUUUAUGUACAAAAUAAUGAACGAAAAACAAAUAAGAUAUAAAGCAACAAAUAACAAUAAACUGCUUCGCUGAGCGCAGCUGGAUACGCCCGCAGAGGUCCAACCCUGAACAGUUGGGGCAAAAAUGGACACAAUAUUCAAGCUUGAUACAGGUCUGAAUUUGGAUUGUAAUUAAAUAUUUGACACAUUAUAGGUUUCUGACACAGAAUAAAUGUAGUCAAAGAACUUGAAAUUGGUUGUAUGAUUUGAAUUUAUAUUCAAUUGAAGAUUUAUUGCUGUUGUGCAAUACACUGUUCUGUUGCGCAAUACUUAGUUAAUCUGUUUUCAGACUAUAUACAAAGAAUUAGCAAAAUAAAUUGUGACCCCCAAUUUUUUUCUUUGGAAAAUUGACAAUUUCUUAAAUCUUGAGGGAAAAAAAAUUGAACCCCCCCCCC